AAUGAAUUUCAAUUUUUUGCUAAAGAGACAUUGACAGGCCCACAGAGAGCCUGGAGCUCACGGGACAACAUUCACACACAUUCUGCUUCAUGAAGAGGUCAGAUUAUCGUCAGACCAUAGACAUUACAUGCAAGGACACUGAACCUUUGGCCGGAUUACACAUAGAAAUGCAAUCCUAAACAAAAUGGGUAAAGAUAAAGCAUGUUUAUUGAUGCGGCAAACAAAGGUUCAAAUAUCCUCCAAAGCACUUCAAGCCCUCAAAGAAUGAAACUCAAAACGCAGAUGAGGUAAAAGAAGAAACUUCUAAAUUAAAGUGGAGCGACCCAGGGACAAGUCUGGUUUGGGUUAAAGAUUAUGGAUGGUUAACUUUGUGUAACGCGUUUGGACAAGCAAGUUUAGGUUUUAGGCAAGCGAGUUUAGGCAGGCGACUUCAGGUAUUAGGCAAGCGACUUCAGGUAUUAGGCAAGCGAGUACAGGCAAGCGAGUCAAGCCAAGCGAGUUUAGGUAUUAGGCAAGCGAGUUUAGGCAAGCGGGUUUAGGCAAGCGGGUUUAGGCAAGCGGGUUCAGGUAUUAGGCAAGCGAGUUUAGGCAAGCAAGUUCAGGUAUUAGGCAAGCGACGCGAGUUUAGCCAAGCAAGUUCAGGUUUUAUGCAAGCGAGUUUAGACAAGCGAGUUUAGGCAAGCAAGUUUAGGUAAGAGAGUCAAGUUACUUUAGGCCUCACUUUAUUUGCGGUUAAAUUGCGGCAUUAGGUUUAGAAAGAAGGUUAAGAUCCAGGCUCAGGUUUGCUUCCAGCCUCGUCCCUCUAGCCGCUCCCUAUAAAGAGGGUUCCCAGCUACAGUGUUAAAAUACAACAGCUGGGAUUACAGAUGUGGAGUACAGAAAUAAAUGACAAAGAUUGAUUCAAACAUUCUUCCCCCAAAAUGUGGUGCAACAUAAUGGAGAAAAUAAUUACUUUCUCUCCAUUGAAACCCAGUCAUAUCUUACGAUCUCACGAGGUCCCACCGCAAGGGGCGGACUUACAAGCUCUAUAGAGUGUGCACUGUGUGUUAAUGUUGGGUGUGGAUUAAUGUGCUGGUGUAGCCAGGGAUCCUCAGGGUUUAUGGGGAGUAGGACACACUGGUGUAGUUCAGUGCUGUGAAGUAAAUUGAUGCAAAAAGUAGAAUCAGUUUCAAGGGCAAUCAAAUGUCUAUAAAUGCAGGA
ensembl:lncRNA